rnacentral:lncRNA from 1 species
ACCCGGACUCCCGUCCAGGCGCACCGGCCGGCCUCGGAGCUCUACCAGCAGGCUUUCAUGGGAGCGGAGGUGCCCACGUUUCCAUUGUGCGGUAACCGCGCUUCAUCACAGCCACCUCCAAUCGAGGCCGCACGGUGUCCCCAGAACCACGCUCGGUACAACCUGCCCCGGCCGCUGCGCUCGACUUGGGAGCGCGCCCCGCCCCGAGCGCACGACCUCCCUUCCCUCUCCGCGACUUGAGCUUGCUUCCCGGAAAGCCAGUGUAGUGGCAGCGGUUUGCCUCACAGCGCCCCUGGCAGCACUGAGAAGUGAAGGAAUAUUUGGGAGGAUCAGAAGCUUGGUCCUGAUUUUGCCAUCAACAGGAACUUGAUGACUUCAAGGGAGUCCCCAAACCCUGGGUUUCUGUUUUCUCAACUCUAACAUGAGGGGCUAGAUGCAUCUGGUUUAGUUAGUCUCCAUGAUGGUUUAGUUCGUCUCCAUGAUCCUGUGAAUUUCAGAUGUUGAAAAUCUUCGGAAAAGCCCUGAAAGAUGAACAGUCUUCACCAACCUCCUCCCUCCAGAAUAUUCCUCAAGAAUAUAAAAUGCCUCAUCAACAUGAGACAACAGCAGGAAGCACCCAUUCGUAGUAAUCCUCUGUAUGGAGGAGGCUGUUACAUAACCACAAAGGCACAAAGCUGCAGUUUUGAGAACAUCUUCCCACGCCAGUUCUAAGCAUUGACUUCAACUAUGGUUGCUAACACAAGAAUCGGCACUGGUGACUUUUGAGCCAUCAAUCAUCCUUUCCUAACACAUGAAUCUUUUGGAAAAUGGUCUCAAAUAGUCAAGACCCCCUGCUGGGAGGAGCUUCUAUCCUGCUCUGUGGAAGAAAUGGGCAUGCCAGAUGCCUGGAAGAUCAGAGGCUCACAUUCCAGGUGGCCCACCAGGUGUCAACAACUGUAGAGUUCCAUCAAGAGUCAUCAUUUUACAGUUACAAGUCGGAGGGGCCUUCACAGAUCCGUCAGGCUCAACACUGCCUCCUUAGUGAGCCUGUGAACCACCCAAGACGGCUGGUCAUCAGUGUCAUCCUCUUCCUUUUCCGGACAACUAUCUUUAAAAGAAAAAAAAAGAGUGUCUUUGAAUGUAUCCAUUUUAUCCCCAAAUAAUCUUGUUUAAUAAAUUCCUUAUUAGGCCAAA